GAUGAAGAACGUAGCGAAAUGCGAUAAGUAAUGUGAAUUGCAGAAUUCAGUGAAUCAUCGAAUCUUUGAACGCACAUUGCGCCCGCCAGUAUUCUGGCGGGCAUGCCUGUCCGAGCGUCAUUUCAACCCUCGAACCCCUCCGGGGGGUCGGCGUUGGGGACCUCGGGAGCCCCUAAGACGGGAUCCCGGCCCCGAAAUACAGUGGCGGUCUCGCCGCAGCCUCUCCUGCGCAGUAGUUUGCACAACUCGCACCGGGAGCGCGGCGCGUCCACGUCCGUAAAACACCCAACUUCUGAAAUGUUGACCUCGGAUCAGCUAGGAAUACCCGCUGAACUUAAGCAUAUCAAUAAGCGGAGGA
rnacentral:misc_RNA from 1 species